rnacentral:rRNA from 1 species
UACGAAGGAUCCAAGCGUUAUCCGGAUUUAUUGGGCUUAAAGGGUGCGUAGGCGGGCUAUUAAGUCAGGGGUGAAAGCCCCAAGCUUAACUUGGGAAUUGCCAUUGAUACUGAUGGUCUUGAGUACACUUGAAGUGGGCGGAAUGUGUCAUGUAGCGGUGAAAUGCUUAGAUAUGACACAGAACACCGAUUGCGAAGGCAGCUCACUAAAUUGUAACUGACGCUGAGGCACGAAAGCGUGGGGAUCAAACAGG